GAUGAACGCUGGCGGCGUGCCUAAUACAUGCAAGUCGAGCGAACAGACGAGGAGCUUGCUCCUCUGACGUUAGCGGCGGACGGGUGAGUAACACGUGGAUAACCUACCUAUAAGACUGGGAUAACUUCGGGAAACCGGAGCUAAUACCGGAUAAUAUAUUGAACCGCAUGGUUCAAUAGUGAAAGACGGUUUUGCUGUCACUUAUAGAUGGAUCCGCGCCGCAUUAGCUAUUUGGUAAGGUAACGGCUUACCAAGGCGACGAUGCGUAGCCGACCUGAGAGGGUGAUCGGCCACACUGGAACUGAGACACGGUCCAGACUCCUACGGGAGGCAGCAGUAGGGAAUCUUCCGCAAUGGGCGAAAGCCUGACGGAGCAACGCCGCGUGAGUGAUGAAGGUCUUCGGAUCGUAAAACUCUGUUAUUAGGGAAGAACAAACGUGUAAGUAACUAUGCACGUCUUGACGGUACCUAAUCAGAAAGCCACGGCUAACUACGUG
rnacentral:rRNA from 1 species